GCCUGCUUUAGGAAUACACAAACUAUGAGGAAAACAAGUGCAAAACAAAGGAGUAAUGGCACCUGAAAUUUUGGUGUCUUCCGAGUGCUCUCUUGACAUACACUGAGAUCAGCGAAUUUUCCUAACAGACAGCUUAGGGGCAGCCAGAGGCUCUUUUUCCCCCUCCUUUCUUCCACUCAUCCUCUGAAUAUCUCCUCAUCUUUCCAGAAACCACUCAAUGUCCAUUGUAUUCUUCUGCUGCCUCACUAGGAGGAACUUUCUACUUCUUUCUCUGAGCUCCUUUAGUUCUUUGCAUCCUUGAUUCUGCUCAUAUCUGGUCCAGAGCCUACCAGGUGCUCAGGUGCUCCUGGGGCUGACCCAGAGGUUGUUGGGAGGUCAGUGGGGACAGAUUUAGGGACAGUGUCACAUUCCGCUCUGCCAUCCCAUCACCUCAGAAAGACUCCAGCUACCCAGUUGGAGUCUAAUAAAUGCUGAUGUAUCCAGCUGAAGCCUGGACAGUGACCCAGUUCCAGCUGUGGGGAAGAUGACUGCUUGCCCGCGGCCAGCUGGGGCAAUGCACAAAACUGGGAGGCCGCAUCUGUGCAGGGAGCUUGUGUCUGAGGGUGUUGACAGCUGUUUUCUGCCUCAGGAGAAACUGAAACCAGAAUACCUGCAGGCACUCCCUGAAAUGCUGAAGCUCUACUCACAGUUUCUGGGGAAGCAGCCAUGGUUUCUUGGGGACAAGAUCACCUUUGUGGAUUUCAUCGCUUAUGAUGUCCUUGAGAGAAACCAAGUAUUUGAGCCCAGCUGCCUGGAUGCCUUCCCAAACCUGAAGGACUUCAUCUCCCGAUUUGAGGGCUUGGAGAAGAUCUCUGCCUACAUGAAGUCCAGCCGCUUCCUCCCAAGACCUGUGUUCACAAAGAUGGCUGUCUGGGGCAACAAGUAGGGCCUUGAAGGCCAGGAGGUGGGAGUGAGGAGCCCAUACUCAGCCUGCUGCCCAGACUGUGCAGCGCAGCUGGACUCUGCAUCCCAGCACCUGCCUUCUCGUUCCUUUCUCCUGUUUAUUCCCAUCUUUACUCCCAAGACUUCAUUGUCCCUCUUCACUUCCCCUAAACCCCUGUCCUAUGCAGGCCCUUUGAAGCCUCAGCUACCCACUAUCCUUCGUGAACAUCCCCUCCCAUCAUUACCC
rnacentral:sRNA from 1 species